rnacentral:rRNA from 1 species
AUGUGCGGCCUGCUUCUGCGCAUGGAGCACCUCAACGACUGGGACCUGCAGGCCGUCGUCAGGAGCUGCGCCACCUUCUCCUCCCGCCACCCCCAGGACCGCGCCGGUCCUCCUCCGGGGACCGCCGCGGCGCCGGUGGCGGAGACGACGGUCAAGCGGGAGCCGCGCGACGUGGCCCGGCCAGCAGCGGCGGCCAAGGACGCGUCGUCGCUGUACGGCCUGGAGUACCUGGACUUGGAUCACAAGCCCUUCUUGCUGUCGGCGCCGUCGUCGCAGUCGUGGGCGGCGGUGGAUGACCGCCACGAGAUGAUGAUCUCUUUCCCCGCGGCGGCGUCCACGUCCGGCGUGCGGCCGCGGGUGCCGCCUGGCCGGAAGCCCGGCAUACGAAGCAGCACCCCACGCCCGAAAAGAAGCAAGAAGAGCCAGCUGAAGAAGGUGGUGUGCGAGGUGCCGGUGGCCGACGGCGGCGUCUCCUCCGACCUUUGGGCAUGGCGAAAGUACGGUCAAAAGCCCAUCAAAGGCUCGCCUUAUCCCCGGGGAUACUACAAGUGUAGCAGCAUGAAGGGGUGCAUGGCCCGGAAACUGGUGGAGCGCAGCCCGGCCAAGCCCGGUGUGCUCGUCAUCACCUACAUGGCCGACCACUGCCACCCGGUGCCGACGCAGAUCAACGCGCUCGCCGGCACCACCCGCCACAAGACCACCCCUGCCGAGGGCCACGCGCCGACGACCACGACGUCGCCCAAGAGCCACGGCGAUGCCCACGAGGCGGUGAGGUGCGACGACGAAAGCAACGAGACGUCGUCCAUGGCUGUGGACGGCGCCACUGAGGACGCGGCGGGGGAUGACGGCGGCGAGUUCUGGCCGACGGAGCUGGACCUGGACGAGUUGUUGGCGCCCGUGGAUGGCGAUCUGGAUCAUGUCUUCGACGAGGACGACGCCCUGGGACGACGGCUCUCGCUAUAG